rnacentral:rRNA from 1 species
CCUACGGGUGGCAGCAGUGAGGAAUAUUGGUCAAUGGACGAGAGUCUGAACCAGCCAUGUCGCGUGCAGGAUGACUGCCCUAUGGGUUGUAAACUUCUUUUAUAUGGGAAUAAAAUGUUCCACGUGUGGGAUUUUGUAUGUACCAUAUGAAUAAGGAUCGGCUAACUCCGUGCCAGCAGCCGCGGUAAUACGGAGGAUCCGAGCGUUAUCCGGAUUGAUUGGGUUUAAAGGGAGCGUAGGUGGAUUGUUAAGUCAGAUGUGAAAGUUUGCGGCUCAACCGUGGAAUUGCAGUUGAAACUGGCAGGCUUGAGUACAGUAGAGGUGGGCGGAAUUCGUGGUGUAGCGGUGAAAUGCUUAGAUAUCACGAAGAACACCGAUUGCGAAGGCAGUUCACUGGACUGCAACUGACACUGAGGCUCGAAAGCGUGGGGAUCGAACAGGAUUAGAUACCCCAGUAGUC